GCGGUUUUAGCUCAGUUGGUAGAGCGUCAGAUUUGUGAGUUCUGAAGGUCCUGUGUUCGAUCCACAGGAAUCGGUU